rnacentral:rRNA from 1 species
UACGUAGGGCGCAAGCGUUGUCCGGAAUUAUUGGGCGUAAAGAGCGCGCAGGCGGUCGAUCAAGUCGAGUGUGAAAGCCCCCGGCUCAACUGGGGAGGGUCAUUCGAAACUGGUCGACUCGAAGGCAGGAGAGGGUAGUGGAAUUCCCGGUGUAGUGGUGAAAUGCGUAGAUAUCGGGAGGAACACCAGUGGCGAAGGCGACUACCUGGCCUGUUCUUGACACUGAGGCGCGAAAGCUAGGGGAGCAAACGGG